CACAGAAAAUCGGCUCCUGCGACUGUUUAUCAAAAACACAGGACUCUGCCAACUCGUAAGAGGACGUAUAGAGUCUGACGCCUGCCCGGUGCCGGUAGGUUAAGGAAGACGGUUAUCCCAUUAGGGAGAAGCUGGCGACCGAAGCCCCGGUAAACGGCGGCCGUAACUAUGACGGUCCUAAGGUAGCGAAGUUCCUUGUCGGGUAAGUUCCGACCUGCAUGAAAGGCGUAACGACAGGAGCACUGUCUCAACCACCAACUCGGUGAAAUUGUAGUCGUGGUGAAGAUGCCACGUACCCGCGGUUAGACGGAAAGACCCCGUGAACCUUUACUGUAGGCAGAUAUUGGGCUGAGAUAUGUUUUGUGUAGGAUAGGUGGGAGGCUUUGAGCUGGUAGCGCUAGCUAUCAAGGAGCCGUCCUUGAAAUACCACCCUGAAUAUGUUUUAGUUCUAACCAUGAUCCAGUGAAUCCUGGCAUGGAACAGUGUCUGUUGGGCAGUUUGACUGGGGCGGUCUCCUCCCAAAGAGUAACGGAGGAGUGCAAAGGUACCCUCAGCCUGGUUGGCAAUCAGGCAUAGAGCGUAAAGGUAGAAGGGUGCUUGACUGCGAGACUCAUCAGUCGAGCAGGAACGAAAGUUGGUCUUAGUGAUCCGGUGGUCCCGAAUGGAAGGGCCAUCGCUCAUCAGAUAAAAGGUACUCCGGGGAUAACAGGCUUAUCGCUCCCGAGCGUCCAUAGCGGCGGAGCGGUUUGGCACCUCGAUGUCGGCUCAUCACAUCCUGGGGGUGAAGAAGCUCCCAAGGGUUUGGCUGUUCGCCAAUGAAAGUGGUACGUGAGCUGGGUUCAGACCGUCGUGAGACAGGUCGGUCCCUAUCUGCCGUGGGCGUACGAAACUUGAGGAGGUUCUUCUUUAGUACGAGAGGAUUUGGAAGGACGUAGCUCUGGUGUACCAGUUGUCGCGCUAGCGGCACGGCUGGAUAGCUAACUACGGAAAGGAUAAACGCUGAAAGCAUCUAAGCGUGAAGCCCUCUCCGAGAUUAGGUUUCGCAUGAGUCCCCUUGAAGACGACAAGGUUGAUAGGUCAGAUGUGUAAGCUCAGUAAUGGGUUCAGCUAACUGAUACUAACGGACAAACGGCUUGGCCAC
rnacentral:rRNA from 1 species